ACCCCUCACCUCACAAGGUCAUGUCUGUCAGCCUCCCCGGCUCCUCCCAUGGUUACUGAGGUCUUUCCCCACAACCAGUCGGGACCCAGAGCUGCUGAAGUUGCACUCUUCGGGUGCCAAGUGCAUCACCUGCUCUCCUUGCUCUUUCCUUCUUUCAGUCCUUCCUCAUUCUCACCCGAGUUACCAAAAUGCCCUCCAAACUCACCUCCCUUUUGUAGCAACACUUCUCACCAGUCUUCCUCCAGGCUGAUGUCUAACCAACCUUCCCAAAAUGAAAGUUUAAUCCUGUCACUUUUGUUUAAAAGUUGGCCCAGGAAAAUCCAAGCUCCUCGGCACCUGAGCCCCCUCCUCUGGCCUCAGCACCGGACGCCCACCUCUGCAGGCUGCUGGUUACCUAAAGGCGCGAGCUGAUCACUGCCUGCGCCCUGUCAGUCCUUCGUCCUGGUUUCCCACUCCCUUUUGCUCCAUCAAGGCCCCCCCCUGUUCUGGCUCAAAAUGCAGCUCGGGGCAAAUCCGCCAGCGCCUUGCUACUCGGCAUCCCUGGAUCGACCAGAGCUGCCUCACCCGGGAGCUUGACGGAUGUGCAGAAUCUCAAACCCUGUCCCAGACCGACUGAACCAGGAUCUCACCUUAAUACGAUCCCCAGAUGACACAUAUGCACACUAAAACCUUGAGAAUCACUACUCCCACACCCAGUGUGAGUGAGUGGGUGAGGGAAAGAACAUAUCAAUUACUGAGAUUAUGUCCAUGUUUUGGAAGCAAGGGGGGCAAUGAAGAUAUCUGCAAGCAAAGAAAUGAAAUAGAAAUGGAUCACGAUGUUGAAACUGUCUCACAUACACAUAAAUUUCACAACACUUAAGUAGCUAUUAUUUAUGUGGAGAAAAAAGGUCAACCAAAAGAAGGGAAAACAAAUGUAAUAGAAGAUAGAACUUCAGAGACAUUUUGUGACUUAAAGGAAGAAAUUUGGGGAAAUGUAGAAAAACAGUUUAGAGAUUUGCCCAAUUGAUUUCCAAAAACAUUUCUAAGAGCAUUUUGGGUAAUGUAUACAAGAAUUAUGCAUACUGUUAAAUACCAUAAAUUGCACUUCUAGAAAGUUUUAGAAACUUUUAGAAAUCAAUCUCUAAACUUAGGUUUAUAAGAAUAAAGCCAAACUCAACAACGUGAAUAUAAAAUAUCCCCAUUUUCAACUAUCUAUGUUGAUGAGAAAGCAUUGUGAUAUUGUGGGUUGGUUUAUGUGCUUAAAAUUUUCCCCAAACCCCCCAAUACCAUUGGCAACGUUUUGUUUUUUCCAAGGCUGCUUCCAGUGCAUGGUUCUGAUUCUCGCAGCAUGAGGAUGGCAUUUGGGCUGCAUCUCAGGGAAGAGGUGUAACCAAGUGAUCAGUUACCCUCACCGAUGAUGAGUUAAACUCACGUCAAGUGCCUCUUUGAUGGGAUACCCUGAGGAUGACGCGGCAUCACUCACCUUGGGAUUCCUGCCCAAAACACAUCACCCGAGGAAAUAGCAGAGCAUCCCUGGGGCAGGACCUACCACGGAGGACGUCCACGGCUCCUCGCAGAGUGUUUCAGAUGGAUAUACAGUUAACUGUCAAACAGACACCUCCUGAUGAACAGAUCUCUGGCGACAGAGGAGAAUCAUACGUGAUGCCCUAGAGAAUCAUGCGUGAGGACGUUGCAUCUCACUUUCAAAAGACACCGUCUUAAUCCUCGGGUAACAAUGACUGGAUCCUGGAUCAGCAGCUGUCAUGGAGAUGAUUAAAAAGCAUGAAAUUAUCUUGAUGGUUCAUGUUUGGACAAAGAAACACAACCGCUUUAUUUGAAAGACUUGUUAAAUAUCCUACCACUUGGCUGGAGUAAAGAAUUUAUUGGAACAAGAGAGGUCUUGCAUGACCCUCAGCGGACAAACACUUCUUCAUUGCUUUGCCAGCUUGUCUUCCCCGAGCUCCAGAAUGUGGAGCUCACGGCUGGUUGCACUUGUGGAUGUCAGCUGGGCUUCCAGUCACCCGGGCCAUGCCGUCAAAAUCAAACAUGCUGUCUUCCUGUGCCUAAUAACACACUCCACAAGGUUCAUGUUGCCAAGAGUUGUUCCACAACGUGGACCUACACAGAGGAGUUUACUGAUUUUCGUUCAGUAUUUUAAAUGAUUUAUAUGAAAUGACUAUCACUUGUGCUCACUCAGAGGCAGCUGUCCAAAAGCUUUCAGCAAUGCAGCGUGUUAGACUGUCUGGGGUCACCUGUGAGGAAUGUUGAAUGGAAUUCCUGAUGUUGCUGGAGAUGUGGGCGAUUUUCUGUAGGACAUCCAGGAAGUCCUGCCAGUUUCAGCAGCACGGGGCGUCUCUCCAUGCUGGUGCUUCCUGGGUGACACUUGUUUUUUUUUGCAUCCAGAUCAGAAAACCACAAGGGGAAGAAAGGGCAGCAACAUGUGCUUCAGCUGUGUGGCAGCAAUCCUGGGGAAGGCUGGUAGGGAGAAUAUAACAGUAUUGACUCAAUUUAGUCUUGGACAUGCUUAUCUAUCCAGAUGGUGAAGCCUGACCUUCAUUAACUAAGGAUAAAGUUGAUAGAAUUUCAUCUUAGUUCCUUUGGAAUCCAAGGAUAUAGAAAAUUAGACAAAAUGGUUAAAAGAGCCUCAAGGACCCAUCACCAUCUUCAAACGCUAUCAAUUUAUAGCCAGUCUUAUUGAAUCUCUAUCUUACUAAUCCUCCCUCCGCCAAGACAUCGACUCUCAAAGAUAUAAAAACUCUUUUUGCUAACAUCAUCACAAUGCCAUUAUUUCUCCUAAAAUUUUAAUACUUUCACCAAAUAUUCAGCAUUCAAGAUUCUGGCUAGCUCAUCAAUGUUAUGACUUUUUUAUCAGCCUGUUUGUUAGAAACAGAAGACAUGUAAGCUUCACACCUGUAAUUGCUUAAGGCUUUCACGUUUCCUUUAGUUCAUAGGUUCUCUCCAUCUCUAUUCUCCUCUACCUCCCCCUCCUCUUCCUCGUCUUUCUCCUUCUCAUUAUUUGUUGAAGAAACACAAUUUCUAUAAAGAUGGUGUUUCCAUUUGUCCUAUGAAAUUUCCCACAUCUGACCUCUCCAAGUCGUCAUUUAACAUUUUCCGCCAUCAUCUUAUUUCCUGUACAGUGUUGGUUGGAUUUAGAGGCUUGAUCUAAGUCAGGCUGGGUUUUGGGGGCAAGACCACCGCGUUAGUUUGCUAGGGUUGCCAUCACACAGUGCUGCAGACAGGCGGCUGAAGAGCGGAAAUGUAGCAUCCACCAUUACAGAGGCUGGAAGUCCGAGAUCUAGGGGUCAGCAGGGCUGGUUUCUCCCGAGGCCGCUCUCCUUGGUGUGUGGACGGCUGUCUUCUCCCUGUGUCUUCACAUGGUCUUUUCUCUGUGUGUGUCUGUGUUCAAACCUCCUCUUCUUAUAAAGACACCAGUCAGAUUGGAUUAGGGCCAACCUAAUGGCCUCAUUUUAAUUUAAUCACCUCUUUGAAGACACUUUCUCCAAAUGCAGUCACAUUCUGAGGUACUGGGGGGUUAGGACUUCAACACAGGAAUUUCGGGAGUGAACAAGUCAGUCCAUAAUAACUUUCCAGGUAGUUGUGUGCCCUUCCAUCAAGACGUAUAUACAAUAUCAGAUCGUUUGUCUUUUUGUGGGUUUGGCAGUCGCUCAUGAUCAAUAUCUAGAUUCAUUCACUUGAGUUUGCAAAGUGGUGAUAGCCUAAUUCUGUUGUUACUUCUUUAUGUAUUAGCUAGAUUCCUUUUUUCUUUCUUUUUUUUAAGUUGUUUCAUCUUCUCUUUGGUUUGCAGUGGUACAGUUUGUAUUAGAAAGGCAGAAUUAAUAUUUGAUCCUUUUCGUUUAUUUACUCGUUUUCAAAAUAAUAGGUUGGUUCAUUGGAAUCCUCCAAUGCGAUCAGUUUGUUGAGGCUUUUUAACUGACACUGUGAACUCACGGAUGUUCACGUCUGUAUGUAUGAAGGUGUGAUGUAUAUUAAUCCACUGCAGUUAUUACCUUUCCCUCAAGUUGUCCUAUGUUUGGCCAGUGGGAGUCUCUGCAAGCUUGGCUUGCAAGUCCCUCAGACAGGACUGCGGCAGUCCUGGAGAGCUCCCUUAUCUGGUACGGCAUGAUGUACCAGGCUCAUGUUUUCCAUUUCCUCUCCAGAUCCGAGAAGCUCUGGUUCCUUUUAGUGGAAAAGGUGCUUGAAGAGCAGAAUCUGAGCACUAGGGGAGCUCACGGCUACUGAGUUGAUUUCUACAUCUAGACCUUUACAGUGAGUCGAACUAUGAACCAGGUGUACGUAAACAUCCAGCAUCAUACAUAUGUGUACAUAUAUAAUCCCAAUCAAAUUCAGGGUUUGCUUUAUCUUAACAUCUGUCUUUCCUCUUUCCCACUCCAAGAAUCCUGGCCUCAACCACAGCAGGAAUGAUUGAAUAAGAACCCCACGUUGCUGUCCAUUUGCUUUCACACACGACACGCGCACAGCAGAGUCAGACUCGCACAGUUAACACGCCCACCAAGCUUUCUGCAGCUCUUUCUGUCCUUAGAUUUGUACUCAAAUCACUGUGCUUUACGAUCCCUGGGAAUAUUUCCUCCCUGUGGGUUAAACCAUCAACUGGGUACAUAUUUAGGGUUUUUUGUUUUUCAUUUUAUAUUUAAAUACAUUUAUUUUAUAAAUAAGAACUCAGAUAUGAGGUGCACGUCUUGUAUGUCUUACGUAAGGUGAGACACGCACAUGGUUUCAAAGCCAAACCAAGCGUGGCGUCAGCAGUGCUCUCCUGUUUCUCUCGUCGCCCUGUGUGUCUAAGCCAGAGGAAGGGCUGGCUUUGUGUGGUGGCGGAUUUGGAGGAGGAGGUGAUGCCUGAAUCGUGUCUUACUGAACAGCUGUAAAGAGGGACUCCGAUUCUGGGAGAAUCUGUCUCGAAGGCCUUAGGGAAGAAAACAUUUGUUCUGCCACCCGCCAUGUAAUUCUUCUUUGAAUUUUAAUGCGUUAGCCUUUAGGCUGCGAGACAGAAAACAGCCGCUGUGUUCUGUUUAAACUCGGCCAUCUUUCUACUUUGCCGUACAGGCUAGAAAUGAGAAGGUUUUGUCAAAUAUAUGGUUAUGCGCUCCAAAGUAGUUUGUCUGGAUCUGUGAAGUUCCAUCUCGUGAUAACAUCUUGGAAUCUAAAUAUAGCAGUAUUAUCUAAAAUAGAUAAGCAACAAGGAUGUAUUGUACAGCACAGGGAAAUUCAGCCAUUAUCUUGUAAUAACUUUAAAUGGAGUAUAAUCAAUAAAAUUUUGAAUUACUUUGCUAUACACCUGAAACUAAUGUAAUACUGUAUAUCAACUAUACGUCAAUAAAACAAU